rnacentral:rRNA from 1 species
AUGGGUGGCUUCAAGAUUUCUUGUGGGCACAGGCAUCACAAGUCAUUCAGUCUUAUGGUUCUUCAUUAUCUGCAUAUGGUAUUUUUUUUCUUAGGUACUCAUUUUAUCUGGGCCUUCAGUUUAACGUUUUUAUUCAGCGGCCGUGGUUAUUGGCAAGAACUCAUUGAAUCUAUCGUUUGGGCUCAUAACAAAUUAAAAGUUGCUCCUGCUACUCAACCUAGAGCCUUGAGCAUUAUACAAGGACGCGAUGUAGGAGUAACCCAUUACCUUCUGGGUGGAAUUGCCACGACAUGGGCAUUCUUCUUAGCAAGAAUUAUUGCAGUAGGAUAG